rnacentral:rRNA from 1 species
AGCGAACGCUGGCGGCAGGCCUAACACAUGCAAGUCGAACGAACCCUUCGGGGUUAGUGGCGGACGGGUGAGUAACACGUGGGAACGUGCCUUUAGGUUCGGAAUAACUCAGGGAAACGUGUGCUAAUACCGAAUGUGCCCUUCGGGGGAAAGAUUUAUCGCCUUUAGAGCGGCCCGCGUCUGAUUAGCUAGUUGGUGAGGUAAUGGCUCACCAAGGCUACGAUCAGUAGCUGGUCUGAGAGGAUGACCAGCCACAUUGGGACUGAGACACGGCCCAAACUCCUACGGGAGGCAGCAGUGGGGAAUCUUGCGCAAUGGGCGAAAGCCUGACGCAGCCAUGCCGCGUGAAUGAUGAAGGUCUUAGGAUUGUAAAAUUCUUUCACCGGGGACGAUAAUGACGGUACCCGGAGAAGAAGCCCCGGCUAACUACGUGCCAGCCGCCGCGGUAAUAC